AUUGAACGCUGGCGGCAGGCCUAACACAUGCAAGUCGAGCGGAGCGGCGGACGGGUGAGUAAUGCCUAGGAAUCUGCCUGGUAGUGGGGGAUAACGUCCGGAAACGGGCGCUAAUACCGCAUACUAUCAGAUGAGCCUAGGUCGGAUUAGCUAGUUGGUGGGGUAAAGGCCUACCAAGGCGACGAUCCGUCACUGGUCUGAGAGGAUGAUCAGUCACACUGGAACGGAAACGCGGUGCGGACUCCUACGAGAGGCGACAGUUGGGAAUAUUGGACAAUGGGCGUAGCCCUAAUCCAGCCAUGCCGAGUGGUUUGAGAAGGUCGUCGGAUAUUAAAGCACUUUAAGUUGGGAGGCGUUACCAACAGAAUAAGCACCGGCUAACUUCGUGCCAGCGGCCGCGGUAAUUC
rnacentral:rRNA from 1 species